UCUCUGGAGCUUCCUGCCUCUUGGAGGUCUUCUAAGGGAGGAGGACAGCUUCCUUUUUCAUCAGUUGAAUCCUUGGGCAAAAAUCGAUAAAUCAUAAAAUUAUUAACAAAAGCCAAUGUAUCAGAGUGUGCAGCACAACUAAUAGUUUAUAAGCUUUCUUUUAUAAACGUCCAUAACUGACAUAGCUCUGCUACUCAGAGUGACUAUGGAACUCAGAGAUGUUCUUCUGCCUCUAGGUACUUAUGACAGCUUUGGUAAUCUGGUCUGAGAACACCACCGUGAAUUGAACAAAGUAGUUCCUGAGAGUAUCCCCUUGUGUCAAGAGGUCAUGUGCCAGCCAAGGUUUCAAAAUUGAUAUCCCAUCUCAAGCUGCAAAGAAUCCUUAGGGCAGGCAGCGCUAUUAGAUGAGGCAGCAGGAAUUUUGAUACAGGCAAAAUGAAGAAUGUGCAUCAGAGAUAUUUCAGCAGUUUUUCUUGGGAAUCCCACCAGGAUCAGAAGGGUUAUCAGACUGCUUUAGCCCUGUGGUGACCCCAAAUCCAGGCCCAGGCUAGUUCUGCACUGAACCUAAUAAGCCCUGCUGCUAGAGCACUCAGUACAGAGCAAGGAGCCUCACUGAGGAUUCCAAGCAGCCACUCUGGGUCCAGCAAGAAGAGUUCUGAGCCAGAGUUAACAAGCUCAGCUGACCUUGGAGUAACUCAUUAUAGAGAACUGGAAAGUUUCUGCGGUGACCUGCACAUCUAUACCUUUUGGAGGUCAAGUGUAUUUUGGCUCAGAAUAAUGAAGAGCUGGAUACAUGCAUGGGGUCUUGAUUCUGUUGCAUUUUCCUUUUAAUACUCUGGAUAGUAUUUUAGAUUUCUUUAUGGAAGUCCUAAUGCCUGAAAUUACUUUUUUUUUUUCAGACAGUACUUAAUUUUUCUUAUUCUUGUCUUUUUGUUUGACCUGAAAAGCAAUUUCUUCUUUCUGUUAUAGUCCAGCAAGUUCAAAUCAUGCUAGAUAGCCCAGAGCAACAAACAUGAAAACCCUACAUUUCUCAUUUAAAAAACAUAGUUUAAAUUAAAAAUGUGGAUAU
ensembl:lncRNA